rnacentral:lncRNA from 1 species
AAACAGGUAUAAAGAACACGCGCCUGGGUUCUAAUUAGCAGCCAUAUCUGCAAUUAAUAAAGCAUCACUAUUUUACCAUCACUUAUCUGGUAAUGAACGGCUUCAGAAGAGCCAGUCCAGCUGAUGUCCUCGUGGAGAGGGGCAUGCCUUUUAAAGGCCCUUGAGAUUGGUUGUCGUGGGCUGUGCUGCUGCGGUUUGCAGGGGGCCACAGACCUGCAAGGAGGACAGGAAGGUCGUGACAGAGCCGAGGCGGUGUGGGCCUCGUCAGUCAUUAGGGCCAGGAGAACAAAGGCUUAUCCCAACAGGAAGCAGCGAGGAAGCCCCCCCACCGCCCCGUGGACCGCAGUCAGCAGUGGGCCCAGGGCCCUGCCUUGGCCCCCUUGCUCAGACCACUCUUGGAGAAGCAAUCUUGAAGUUUCAAUUUGGCUGUCCUUGGCCUCUUUUUGUUCUUUGAGGAAAGAAAAUCUCUAUUUAAUUAUAUAACCGAGAACUAGGGCUUAGGUUCGUCCCCUCUUACCCUCCUCCACAAAGAUCAGGAUGUGACCUUCAAAUGCAAACUCUCCGUGGGGCUCUGAAGGCUUGAGGCGCCCAGCCAGGGGGCUUCCUCCCCGGGCGGCCGGGCACGCUGAGCUCCUCUCCAUGGGCACCGUGCAUCCCAGGGCCUGGCACUCCCCGCUGGGAACAGAGGCCUGACCUUACUAGCAAGGUCAGCAGAUGAAACGGUGGCCCUGGGGCCUGGGGCAGCCUCCUCUCCCAAGAUCCUCCCAGAACAUCACAGCGCCCAGGUGGGGGGCGAGGCGGACAGGAGCCUGCUCAAACGCUGAUAAGUAAAUUCAAAGGCACCUGCUCCUUACUGCUUAUCUCCUCAAACAAUAUGAACUCGGAGUUAUCACACUGAAGGUGUUCCGUAUUAGCCUUACAGUUAGCUCUUAAAACCAAGUGCAGUGUGCUACAACUUGAAAGGACACAGAAGUCAAACUGGAAAAUAAUUGUAUGGCAUCAAGGAGUCAGUUCGCAGCCUAAUCGCUCAGGAGGGGAGAUGGGGCCCAUUCGGCUCCAAGGUGCCCGCACUGGGCACCCAGGCAGGAAACCCCCCACUUCCUCACCCCUCAGAGUACCUGGGCCACACUCCCAGCCACCUCUCAAGUCCAAAGCAAGGCUGCUGCCCAGCCUGCAC